rnacentral:rRNA from 1 species
UACGUAGGGUGCAAGCGUUAAUCGGAAUUACUGGGCGUAAAGCGUGCGUAGACGGUUAUUUAAGUCAGGUGUGAAAGCCCCGGGCUCAACCUGGGAAUUGCAUUUGAGACUGAAUAGCUAGGGUGCGGAAGAGGGAAGCGGAAUUUCCGGUGUAGCGGUGAAAUGCGUAGAUAUCGGAAGGAACACCAGUGGCGAAAGCGGCUUCCUGGUCCAGCACCGACGUCAGGCACGAAAGCGUGGGGAGCAAACAGG